CGGAGGGCUAGCGUUGUUCGGAAUUACUGGGCGUAAAGCGCACGUAGGCGGCUUUUAAGUUCAGAGGUGAAAGCCCGGGCUCAACUCCGGAACUGCCUUUGAGACUGGGAGGCUUGAACGUCGGAGAGGUGAGUGGAAUUCCGAGUGUAGAGGUGAAAUUCGUAGAUAUUCGGAAGAACACCAGUGGCGAAGCGGCUCACUGGACGACUGUUGACGCUGAGGUGCGAAAGCGUGGGGAGCAAACAGGAUU
rnacentral:rRNA from 1 species